rnacentral:rRNA from 1 species
UACGGAGGAUGCAAGCGUUAUCCGGAAUGAUUGGGCGUAAAGCGUCCGCAGGUGGCAAUGUAAGUCUGCUGUCAAAGCGUCUGGCUCAACCAGAUAAAGGCAGUGGAAACUACAUAGCUAGAGUAAGGUAGGGGUAGAGGGAAUUCCUGGUGUAGCGGUGAAAUGCGUAGAGAUCAGGAAGAACACCGGUGGCGAAAGCGUUCUGCUAGACCUGUACUGACACUGAGGGACGAAAGCUAGGGGAGCGAAUGGG